rnacentral:rRNA from 1 species
ACGCUCGACACCUACGGGAGGUAGCAGUGAGGAAUAUUGGUCAAUGGGCGCUAGCCUGAACCAGCCAAGUAGCGUGAAGGAUGAAGGCUCUAUGGGUCGUAAACUUCUUUUAUAUAAGAAUAAAGUGCAGUAUGUAUACUGUUUUGUAUGUAUUAUAUGAAUAAGGAUCGGCUAACUCCGUGCUAGCAGCCGCGGUAAUCUGAGCGGGCUGGCAAGGC